rnacentral:rRNA from 1 species
GCGCGAAAACUUUACAAUGCGGGAAACCGUGAUAAGGGAACCCCGAGUGCCUGUAUAUGCAGGCUGUCCAGGUGUCUAAAAAACACCUGAAGAAAGGGCCGGGCAAGACCGGUGCCAGCCGCCGCGGCAAUACCGGCGGCUCGAGUGGUGGCCACUUUUAUUGGGCUUAAAGCGUUCGUAGCUGGGUUGUUAAGUCUCUUGGGAAAUCUGACGGCUUAACCGUCAGGCGUCUAAGAGAUACUGGCAAUCUUGGAACCGGGAGAGGUGAGGGGUACUUCGGGGGUAGGAGUGAAAUCCUGUAAUCCUCGAGGGACCACCUGUGGCGAAGGCGCCUCACCAGGACGGCUUCGACAGUGAGGGACGAAAGCUGGGGGAGCAAACCGGAUUAGAUACCCGGGUAGUCCCAGCCGUAAACGAUGCGCGUUAGGUGUAUCGGUGACCACGAGUCACCGAGGUGCCGAAGGGAAACUGUGAAACGUGCCGCCUGGGAAGUACGGUCGCAAGGCUGAAACUUAAAGGAAUUGGCGGGGGGGCACCACAACGGGUGGAGCCUGCGGUUUAAUUGGACUCAACGCCGGGAAGCUCACCGGAUAAGACAGCGGAAUGAUUGCCGGGCUGAAGACUCUGCAUGACUAGCU